rnacentral:rRNA from 1 species
UGGGGGAUAUUGCACAAUGGGCGAAAGCCUGAUGCAGCGACGCCGCGUGGGGGAUGAAGGCUUUCGGGUUGUAAACCUCUUUCGCUAUCGAACAAGGCCCGCUUAGGGUGGGUUGAGGGUAGGUGGAGAAGAAGCGCCGGCUAACUACGUGCCAGCAGCCGCGGUAAUACGUAGGGGGCGAGCGUUGUCCGGAAUUAUUGGGCGUAAAGGGCUUGUAGGCGGCUUGUUGCGCCUGCUGUGAAAACGCGGGGCUUAACUUCGCGCGUGCAGUGGGUACGGGCAGGCUUGAGUGUGGUAGGGGUGACUGAAUUCCAGGUGUAGCGGUGGAAUGCGCAGAUAUCUGGAGGAACACCGAUGGCGAAGGCAGGUCACUGGGACAUUACUGACGCUGAGGAGCGAAAGCAUGGGUAGCGAACAGG